GGGCCGUUAACUCAGUGGUAGAGUAUCUGACUUUUAAUCAGAGAGUCGAUGGUUCGAACCCAUCACGGCCCACCA
rnacentral:tRNA from 2 species